rnacentral:rRNA from 1 species
UACGGAGGGUGCAAGCGUUGUCCGGAUUUAUUGGGUUUAAAGGGUGCGUAGGCGGGUUAAUAAGUCAGUGGUGAAAGCCGGCAGCUCAACUGUCGAAUUGCCAUUGAUACUGUUAACCUUGAGUAUAGUUGAGGUAGGCGGAAUGAGUCGUGUAGCGGUGAAAUGCAUAGAUAUGACUCAGAACACCGAUAGCGUAGGCAGCUUACUAAGCUAUAACUGACGCUGAGGCACGAAAGCGUGGGGAGCGAACAGG